rnacentral:rRNA from 1 species
AACGAACGCUGGCGGCAGGCUUAACACAUGCAAGUCGGGCGCCCCGCAAGGGGAGCGGCAGACGAGUGAGCAACGCGUGGGAACGUACCCUUUGCUACGGAAUAGCUCCGGGAAACUGGAAUUAAUACCGUAUGUGCCCUACGGGGGAAAGAUUUAUCGGCAAAGGAUCGGCCCGCGUUGGAUUAGCUAGUUGGUGGGGUAAUGGCCUACCAAGGCGACGAUCCAUAGCUGGUCUGAGAGGAUGUUCAGCCACAUUGGGACUGAGACACGGCCCAAACUCCUACGGGAGGCAGCAGUGGGGAAUAUUGGACAAUGGGCGCAAGCCUGAUCCAGCCAUGCCGCGUGAGUGAUGAAGGCCUUAGGGUUGUAAAGCUCUUUCACCGGAGAAGAUAAUGACGGUAUCCGGAGAAGAAGCCCCGGCUAACUUCGUGCCAGCCGCCGCCGUAACAC